UUUCGUGGAGGGUUCGAUUCUGGCUCAGGAUGAACGCUGGCGGCGUGCUUAACACAUGCAAGUCGAACGGGAUCUAGUCAGCUUGCUGACUGGUGAGAGUGGCGAACGGGUGAGUAAUGCGUG
rnacentral:rRNA from 1 species